GGAUGCGAUCAUACCAGCACUAAAGUACCGGAUCCCAUCAGAACUCUGAAGUUAAGCGUGCUUGGGUGAGAGUAGUACUAGGAUUGGUGACCUCUUGGGAAGUCCUCGUGUUGCAUUCC
rnacentral:rRNA from 2 species